rnacentral:rRNA from 1 species
UAACCUACGGGACGCAGCAGUGGGGAAUAUUGCACAAUGGGGGAAACCCUGAUGCAGCGACGCCGCGUGAAGGAAGAAGUAUUUCGGUAUGUAAACUUCUAUCAGCAGGGAAGAAAAUGACGGUACCUGACUAAGAAGCCCCGGCUAACUACGUGCCAGCAGCCGCGGUAAUACGUAGGGGGCAAGCGUUAUCCGGAUUUACUGGGUGUAAAGGGAGCGUAGGCGGUGCAGCAAGGCAGAAGUGAAAGCCCGGGGCUCAACUCCGGGCCUGCUUUUGAAACUGUUGAAGUAUAUGG